rnacentral:rRNA from 1 species
UACGUAGGAGGCGAGCGUUGUCCGGAAUUACUGGGCGUAAAGAGCGCGUAGGCGGCACGGUACGACCGGUGUGAAAGCCCCGGCUCAACUGGGGAGGUCACCGGUAACGGCCGAGCUAUGAGUGCAGGAGAGGGAAGUGGAACUCCGGGAGUAGCGGUGAAAUGCGUAGAGACCCGGAGGAACACCAGUGGCGAAGGCGGCUUCCUGGUCUGCAACUGACGCUGUGGCGCGAAAGCUAGGGGAGCAAACGGG